ACUCCUACGGGAGGCAGCAGUGGGGAAUAUUGCGCAAUGGGGGAAACCCUGACGCAGCGACGCCGCGUGAGCGAUGAAGGCCUUAGGGUUGUAAAGCUCUGUUUUAGGGGACGAAUGUCACGAUCAGUAAUAUGGGUUGUGAAUGACGGUACCCUAAGAGGAAGCCCCGGCUAACUACGUGCCAGCAGCCGCGGUAAU
rnacentral:rRNA from 1 species